rnacentral:rRNA from 1 species
AGCAGUAGCCGCGGGAAUACGGAGGGGGCUAGCGUUGUUCGGAAUUACUGGGCGUAAAGCGCACGUAGGCGGCUUGGUAAGUUAGAGGUGAAAGCCCGGAGCUCAACUCCGGAAUUGCCUUUAAGACUGCCGAGCUAGCAGGUGAGAGAGGUAAGUGGAAUUCCGAGUGUAGAGGUGAAAUUCGUAGAUAUUCGGAAGAACACCAGUGGCGAAGGCGGCUUACUGGCUCAUACUGGACGCUGAGGUGCGAAAGCGUGGGGAGCAAACGGGAUUAGAUACCCGUGUAGUCCCUGUCUCUUAUAC